rnacentral:rRNA from 1 species
UACGUAGGGUGCGAGCGUUGUCCGGAAUUAUUGGGCGUAAAGAGCUUGUAGGCGGUUUGUCGCGUCUGCUGUGAAAAUCCGGGGCUCAACCCCGGACUUGCAGUGGGUACGGGCAGACUAGAGUGUGGUAGGGGAGACUGGAAUUCCUGGUGUAGCGGUGAAAUGCGUAGAUAUCAGGAGGAAUACCUAUGGCGAAAGCAGGUAUCUGGGCCAUCACUGACGCUGAGCUGCGAAAGCUAGGGGAGCAAACAGG